CCUCUGCAGGCGACAAAUAGAAUAGCAGCCAAGACGAGGAAGUCGUAGUUUAACCAGAAGUAAACAAACCAGUGUAAUCACAGAUAUACUGCUUUGCUUAUACCAAAGUGUGUACAGAGGACACUGUGCUGAAUCCCUCACAUUCUCUCAAGUGGAGCAUCAGAGGAGAAAGCAGGAAACAUGGGAGGGAUAGCAGCCUACAAUAUGGGGGAUGGAAACGUCCAUUCCUAUGAAAAUGUUGAUGGCAGCACAACAAGCGGAGACUACUCCAACGAUGUGGUUGCCAGAGCUCAGUGGUACAAAACUAGUUAGGGCUUCUAACACCUGAAGCUGUCCAAAACAUGAACCUGUAAGAAGCCUCUUACAGUUGAUGAUGAUGAUGUGUUCGUGUGUAAACAUCAUGCAAAGCCAAACGUCUGAUGAUAUCUCUGAUUAUUGAGCUGAGAGCUGUCAUCAUUUGCAGAAAGGAGAAAAGUAAUAUUCACUGUGUCCUUGUUUACGAACAAACUGCACUGCUGUUGAUGCUGCUUCAGGAUUGACAUGAUUUACCUAAUACUGUUCUUUUACCACAUUGAUUAUCGCAAUUUGUUUCAAUUGCAAAUGAGAGAUGUAAUAAAGUCCUUGUGUCACUGCUUGGAGUCAGAGAGACAUUUUCACAAUGUUACAUCAGUGUAAUGUUGAGGGAAAGUAAAAAGAGGGAAAUUACACAUAAACCUUGACAAAUUAUGUGAUGAAAUAAAUGUUUCCAUCAGAGGA